AAGUUCAGCACUAAGUCACUUUGCUGUUAUGGCAAAUGUGAGAUGCAGUGUAUGGAAUAUCUAAAAUCUGGUAUGAUAAAUUAAUGAUUUAAGUCCUUCUUAAAUGAGGCCAUUUACCCAAAGAGGGUGCCAGGCCCGUAUAACAUUAAUGAUUAUCAGAAGAUAUUUCCAAAGAGUCGUGUUGCUUGAUAGUGCAGCACUAAGUGGGUGGUAAACUCCAUCUAAAACUAAAUAUAACCAUGAGACCGAUAGUAAACAAGUACCGUGAGGGAAAGUUGAAAAGAACUCUGAAUAGAGAGUUAAAUAGUACGUGAAACUGCUUAGAGGUUAAGCCCGAUGAACCUGAAUAUCCAUUAUGAGAAAUUCAUCAUUAUGCUUACAAUAUAUUUUUAAUAUAUUGUAAUAGUGGUGUGCAUUUUUCUCAUAAAUAUGGACAUUGUAAUCUAUUAAUAAAGAAAUAAUAAUAAAUUUAUCAAAAGAUCAUUUGUAAGAGUUUAUUCAAAUUAAAUUGCUUGCAAUUUAACAUAGAAUAAAUGCAUUUGAUUGGAUAAAGUAUUGAUAGAUUUCAUAUAUAUCGUGCUUAAAUUCAUAUGAAUUUUACAAUGGCAUAGAGAUCAAUGAUCUUUACGUUUAUUUGUAUGCACGUAUAUGAUUAACAAUGCGAAAGAUUCAGGAUACCUUCGGGACCCGUCUUGAAACACGGACCAAGGAGUCUAACAUAUGUGCAAGUUAUUGGGAUUAUGAAAAAAACCUAAAAGCGAAAUUAACUUAACUGAAUAUAAUGGGAUUAAUUUUUAGUCUAUUUUAUGUAGUCUAUUAAUUCAAUCCCGGGGCGUUCUAUAUAGUUAUGUAUAAUAAUAUUUAUAUUAUUUAUACCUCUAACUAGAACGUACCUUGAGCAUAUAUGCUGUGACCCGAAAGAUGGUGAACUAUACUUGAUCAGGUUGAAGUCAGGGGAAACCCUG
rnacentral:rRNA from 1 species